GGGUUCUUGUCGGGGUGCCCUAUACGAGGGGCUGAGAUCGGAUAGUUCCGGAUCCCGUUGAACCUGAUCGGGCUAGCGUCCGGUUCCGCCUCGCGCGGACCGCAGCAACCCGCGUAGGGAACAAGAUGUCCGCGCCA
rnacentral:ncRNA from 2 species